CGCGUAGGCGGCCUGCCAAGUCAGAUGUGAAAGCCCACGGCUCAACCGUGGAAGUGCAUCUGAAACUGGUAGGCUUGAGUACUGGAGAGGAGUGUGGAAUUCCUGGUGUAGAGGUGAAAUUCGUAGAUAUCAGGAGGAAUACCGGUGGCGAAGGCGACACUCUGGACAGAUACUGACGCUGAGGCGCGAAAGCGUGGGGAGCAAACA
rnacentral:rRNA from 1 species